GGUGGCUCAAUGGUAGAGUGCUUGUCUUGCAGGCAUGAGGCUGUAGGUUCAAUUCCUCAGCACCA
rnacentral:tRNA from 1 species